UCAGCCAGACGUUUUCGUUUCUGCUUCUGCUGAAGGUCAUCCAGACACCUCAGCUUAGGACCACCUCUUGGCCAUCCACCUGAACUCUGUUUUUGUUUUGGUUCUUGCUGUCUCAUAUUCCUCCUGAUUAGUUCCUCUCUUAGUUCAUUGGUCCGCACUCCAUUUCACUCAGUAUUUAAGCUCUCUGGUUUUCAUUGUUCUCCACCAGUUUCUACUGAUGUCAACCCUGUUAUCAUCCCUGGAUGUUUCCUUGUUCUUGUCCUGCCUUGAAUCAUUUCCAGCCAGUCUGUAACUCUUUUGUUUACCAUUACUAAAACUACACAAGAGUACCAUGCUGCUACAUUGCUCGUUCCUGCACGUUGUUCCUACAACAACCUCACACAGCCCGACACUACAGUAAUACAAGAAAAGAGUACAAUACGAAGACAGCAACUACAAUCAUAAUACAAUAAAAAUUGUAAAAUGCCAACAAUAAAAAACAGCAGCAAUAUUCACAAUACAAUCAAAUCUGUCCAAUACAAAAUCAGAAAAAACAAUAAAAUUAAAACAAUACUUAAAACAGCAACAACAGUAAUACAGUAAAAACAGAACAAUACAAAAAUGGCCCAACAAUCAAAGUACAAAAAAACAGCAGUACCAAUCACAGUACAAUCAAAACUGUACAAUACACAAUCCGAAA